UCUGAUGUUGCUGUGGCUGUGGUGUAGGCCAGCAGCUGUAGCUCCAAUUGGACCCCUAAGCCUGGGCACCUCCAUAUUCUGCAGGUGUGGCCCCAAAAAGACAGAAAAAAAAAUGUCCAAAGCAUGCUGUUGGGAUAUAACAGCCAGAACCAGAUUGUUCAAGAGAACAGGGAUGAGACUGAGGAGUUGGUUUAUUCUAGAAGAGCAGAAGAGAGCUUUAGACCUUGGAGAGGCCAGACCAAGAAUGGGAAGCUCAAAAGAUCUGACUGGGGACAGCGUGUGGUCGAGAGAGUGACACUCUUUCAGGGGCAUUUCUGUUUUGGAGUUAACCUCAGGUAAGCUUCCCAUAGUAAGUGGGUCCUCAGAAGUUUCAACCAGGAAUAGAAACAAGAACCACAGGUUUCAUGGAAAACAGCUUUCCCAGGGAUGGGGGAGGGAGAGUGAAGGAAAUCCAGCUCAGGCUGGAGCUCAGUGUAAGAGUGGACUCCAGCCGUAAGGCCCAUACCAGCCACAAGCACACAGCAGGCACCUGGAGAAUGAUCGAGCAGAAAGGUAAGUGGAGAACAUUGUUGCAGCUUGAAGCUGGACUGCUUGCAAUUGUUUGGGUACCAAGAGCUUUGCCUCUGGCUUUUCAGUGUUCUGAAAUAGCCCAGUCUGUGAUACGUCUCAGCAAAUCUGUCCCAGGAUCUACAUUAUUUUUAGAUCCCAAGCAUAUGGCGGGUGUCUCAAUGCUUCAGGAAAUUCUGCUGUCAAGAAUCUACUCGGCCCCAAAUAUCUUACAUGUAUUUGAGCACAGAAUCCCCCUUUUCUGCAGUGGGUAGGAGCAGCACACACAGAUAUCAAACAUUCUAAAAUAUAUAACUGUCUACUAUGGUAAUUUGCACAUAAAAGGAGAGUGAAGAGGAAGAAAAAGGCAAUAGCCUCAGGGUCUAGGAAGGAAAAUCUUGCCCCUCCUUAGAAGCAAGGGACUUGCUGAUGAAAAUAACCCAUGCACCUUUGGCUUCAAAAUGUUGUAGGCCGGGUUUGUUAAGGAGACACACAGCAGAGAGGGACAGUGUCAGUCAAUAGCCCUUUGCUGUUGCCUUGGGGACCCUGGCUUUACCCCUUCGGUUGUCAAGACGCUGAGCUUAACACUCUUAAAGCUAACACGUGGAAAGAUGAGUCCUAGUUUCUCUUUAAUUUCAAGAACAAGACUAGAGAAAGGGUUGGUUGAAUGUUUACCAGUAGGUUUUACUAACUUCUACAUGCAAACCUGCAGUUAGGCUACAGGUUCUUAACAAUCCAGACUUCGCUGUUGAGGAUCAUGGUUAUUGAUGAGCAAGCUUCACUGAUGCUUGAGAGGGAAGCCUUUCACCACUGGCCCAGGAACCAAAAAGAGUCAGAGAAAAGGUUAGUUCAGAAAACAUUUUGAUAUUUGAUUUUUUUUUUUUUUUUAAGUUUAGGCUUUUGUUCCUUAAAUGGUUCUGGAGAACAGCUGUUUGCUCCAGGCUCAGAAAAGCAACAUGUUAUAUUCAAGCUUAUGGUUACAAGCAAGUAACUGAAAAGAUCUACAAUACAGGCCCUUUGGAUAAUAUUUAUUUCACAAUUCAUUCAGCUGAGUACAAUUCUAUUGGCAGGGGUUAACUAAUUCGUUAAAAGCAAUUGCUAGGCUAUAGAGAGUAUGAAUACUAAAUUCUGAUUAAAUAGAAUUUGGUGGGAGGGAAAACCUGAGCAACUAACAAGAAUAUAUUAUUUUUGUGUUCCAAAUAAAUAGUGUUAUACAUGGAGCUUAUAGGGGUAUUCAUGGUAAAACAAGCAAACAAAUAAAAAGAUAUUUCAACCGAAGGAUAAAGAAAGGGAGAAGAAUAAAGAUUCUUUGGGUUUCAAACUUAUGUUUGAUUUAUUAUUUCAUAAUACCCUAUGUUUCAAGAGAGGGAACAAAGCAGGGACGGUGGCGAAGGGGACACAGGCUCUGAGAUCAGAGAGACAGGUGGGCCGGCCCUGUCCCAACUUAGUGACACCGUGGCCUUGGGUAAAUUAUCUAACCUCUCUGAGUUUAGUUACCCCAGGGAAUUCCCAUUUCUUUGGGUUUGGGGCAGGAAUAAACAGGGGUAACAUGUGUCUAAUAUGUAACAAGUCCUCAAUAAAUAAUAAAUAUUUUUAAUGGCUAAUAUAUUGAACAAAGAUGAUGAAAGAUGGAGGGUAGAUCUGGGGAAGAGGUUUAAGGAAUUGGAUGUGAACCGGGAAUGGAAGGAAUCAGGCAAAAGGCUAAGAAAAAAGUUCCCUAGGUUUGAAAACCUACAGAAUCAUUAGAUGAAGCUUUAGUUCAUUUGAAUACUAUAUACUUCCAAAUUCUGCUAUUCUUUUUAACCUUUCUAAGUGGAAUGCUAAAUUACUUAGUAUGGUUUAGGAAAACUAGCAAUGGUUUGCUUAGGAGUCAGCAGACCUGACUCUGAAGAAAUUCUCUGUGUUCACAAAGUAAAUGCUUAUUUUGUGACAUGUAUACAAGGUUAUUUUCUGUCGCAUUGUUUCAAAGGGGAAAAGUUUAGAAACAAUACAAAUUGUCAAAUCAAUUAGCUGAGUCAUCCAUUUACCUGAACAUCUGGCAGCUCUAAAGAAGAUUCAGUAACCUUUUAAAAAUGGGGACAGAGAGACAGGAAUUUUAUUUUUAUUUUUAAAAAGCGAGGAUCAAAGCAUUGCAUAUAAUAUUUUACUUCUUGAGUAAAAAGCACGGGGCUUGCUAUCUAUAUUUAUACUUGCUUGUGUAAAUAUGAAGAAACUUUGGACAGAUAUAGAAAUUAAGAAGCGUGGUUUCUAUGGGGCAAAGGGUGAAAAGACCCACAAAUGGUGAACCAGGACUAAAGGUACUUUUCACUGUGUACCCUUUUAUACUUGCUGGUUUUGAGCCAGAUGCAAUUUCUAUUUAAAAAACCACUUUAAAAAUUUAAAUGCUUUUUUAAAAUGUGCAUGCAUUAAAGGCUGUUCCUCAGAAUUUAAAGGUUGGGAACCAGAUUGUUUUAUCCGGACACCAACAUGAAGUCAGUUCAAAUUAGGAAGACUGAGCUGUGAUUUGUGGAAGAGGUGGAUGAAGAGGGGAGAGGGUCCAUUUUAGAGCAUGAUGUGUCUGGAGGGACCACUGGGUGGAGAAGGGGUGCCCUGACCAGAGGAUUAGGAUGUAUGCUGUCCUGGGGCAGCUGAGCAGUGGGGGAGCCCCGCCAGGAUGGGCAAAAGGUUCUAAGGAGGAGGAGAAAGAGGGCAAGGAUCAAUCCACUUACUGAGCGACUUUGCCUGCGUCCCCCAGAGCUACAUGGCACUGAAAAUCAGCUCCGUGCGGACCCUGCCAGGACUGCAGAGCCCAGAGUGGCCUUCAUUAGCUUUUCAAGGGUGUGACAGCAGUCACCUGGAUGUCACCACGCCAACAUGGUAGCGGAGUGGAAAUAAAGGUGGAGGAAAUAAAGACGGAGGAGAAAACUCUCCACAAUUUCCCAGUAACAUCAAAACAGUUUCCCUGGCCUGAAGUCAGAGCCAUACAAUGGAGGUUACACUAGGUAGGUAAUUUCUUAUCUGAGGCACAGAAGAACUGAGAGAGGGAAUUAAGAUAGGGUCUUUUAGAAAGUUUCACAAAGAGAGCAUUUCUGAGUUAGGAACCGGCAUUCAAAUGAGAAGGUGAUGGAUGAGGACAUAGCAACUGUACCAAAGCUGAUGCUUUCUGGAAGUCUGUGUCAGUGCUGGAUGCCCAGGGGAAGCUGGAUUGUCACAGCUGGAGAGUCAAGAGAAUGACCAUGAGGUCAUGACAAACUUGCUUUCGGUGUGAUGGAUUAAUGUGGGAUUUGAUCACCAAUCUGUUGGUUGACACUGAGAAUACUGACCUCAGGAAGAUGACAUAUUUCGAGAUGCUUCUGCAGAGCCAAAGAAGACAAACAGCCUCUAUACCUAGAUCUGCUUUAAUUGACCACACUUGGCACCCCUCUGCUGCCACCCACCCAAACAGGCACUCCUACAACACCUGGCACAUUUGUUUCCAUCAAAUUAAGCAUCCUGGCUGAUGGGCUGAACUGACUUGAAUUUCUCCAUGACUGAUCACACAGAUGACAGGUGGGGAAAGGAUUUCCUUCGUUUCUUCAAAAGCGCUGAACCCUGGUCAUUAUUCUCAAGAGCUCUCUGUCUAACAGAACGUCUACUUCACGCAAUGGACUGUGAUGGAUUCCAGUUGGCUGAGCCUCUGAUGCUGAGGAGAGCACCAGGCCCCUCUUCAACAGGAUGUGGGAACACGCCUCUCACCACAAAUUGAGUUCUUGGGGCAGGAGCCGGCUGUUGCAGACCGGGCAAAGCCCAGGGAGGAGGAGCUGGCAGCGGAAGCAGGGGUGGCAGCCCUUACAUUUCUGUCAGUGACUCAUGAAGGUGGAGAGGGGACUGCAGACCACCCGGGCCUCACGCUAUGAGGUGGAGUGUAGUCAGAAGAAAACCCUUGGCAGGAGUGGGGUCUCUCUAGGAGUUAUGUGUACCUGGCUCCCCUCGACAUAGGUGAACGUGGCCAUUCCCCUCAGGAAGAUGGCCUGAGCACCUGCCGAAAACCUCUGCAGUGUUGCUGGGAAUCAUUGUUGCCUCUAAUCGGACCUCAGGCACCUGCUGCUCUGGACUCUUUCCUCGUUCUUUACCUACUGGAUUCUCUCUUCCAGGUUGAACUGAAGUGGAGGAAGCCAGGUUGCUCAGCAACUGGUAGAGGCCCACCUCCCAAAUACUGUGUCACCUUGAGCUCUCUCGGUCUCCUGAUCAGUUAGGCGUUUGUGUACCCUUUGUCUUUAAAGACCAGGCUUGAAAAUCACCAUCAUUCUACAAAUUAGAACCUUCAAACCUUUCCCUGGUUCUGCUACUGGAUAGCUCCUGCACGGAUAAAGUUUUGAAUUUGGCACAGCCCCUGAUGGCUUAACCAUUAAUGGAUGAGGAAAUUAAAUAUGACUUUCUAUGUGUUUCUGAAGUUUGUUCUGCUCUGAGUUUUUGACUUCUUCAUGCCAAUGGAGUGGGGUUAGAAUGUAGAUUAAUACAGAACAACAAACA